GGGUGCUUUCAUACCAGCACUAAUGCAUUGGAUCCCAUCAGAUCUCCGCAGCUAAGCGUGCUUGGACGAGAGUAGUACUAGGAUGGUUGACCUCCCGGGAAGUCCUCAUGUUGCACCCC
rnacentral:rRNA from 1 species